ensembl:antisense Gm38336 predicted gene, 38336
AGAGGGCCUGAUGGUAUAGGCCUCAGAGAGGAAAGGACGGGUCCACAAAGUGCCUGUCAGGUUGUCUGAUGGAUGCUGACUCACUUGCGGAAAGGCGCCAGUCUGCUAAUGCUGUGCCAGAAGUUAGAUGGCUUCCGCCUGGGCUCUGCUAGCACCAACACCUGCUGCUGGGGCCGGCUGGCAGGCAAUGAUGGAUGCUUGUGGCGGGUCAGGUAUCCUGGCCUGCCCACAGCUGGACAGAGGAGAGAGAGAGAGAGAGAGAGACACCUGGGGUCAUAAGGAUAGCAGACAAAGGGGCCUGUUUGUGGGUUCUGCUGUAGCUCUUCCAUCUUCCACACAGGACUUGCUUCCUGAGGGGCUAACCACAGCACACAAGAUCCCUGGGUAUCAACAGUUUUUGGCCUGGCCUACUGCAGCCUGAGGGCUGGCCAGGCCACUGGGAUAUCUGCCUCUUAUCUAUGGAGUUGGAGAGAUGGCUUGUUCACGGGCAGCUGGGACACACUCUCAGCAGCCUGGGGAGGUGAGCUCUAACUCCUGGUGUCUCCUGGAGGUCAGAGAAGUCAAGCAGACACUGUCAUCUCUCUUACCACCCUUGAAAACAGAGGCCUGUAAAGGGUGACCAGUGAACAUCUCCAAGGAUGUGGACGGCUAGCUGCCAUUGCUUUGGAGAGGGAAACACAGUCAAGGCUGGCACUGCCCAGGGACUAGGAUGCUUCCCCAUUUACCUUUAGGCUUCCCUGUGGCCUGCUGCUUGCUGGCGUUCAGCAUGGCCUGCUUCCUCUGCAGCUCGGUGAUGGAGAAGCCUGGAGGGAGGGCACAAGUGAGACCCCGCCUUGCCUUCAGCUGCUCAUGAGCCUCCCUGGAGGGCUUUCUAGUCCAGUGCCAUCCUCCUGUGCCCCAAUCCUAUCCCGCGUGAGACAGCCUGGCACGGCAGGGACUUCCCUCACCUGCUCAGCCAUUCUGUCUUGCCGGCCAAGGGAAAGAACGGAGCUCCCUGAGCCACUGUCUCAUUUCUUACCCUGACCCUGUACCCCCUGCCCGCUUCUCUAAUACCUAGCUUCUUGCUCUUCACUCCUAUGGAGGCUACCAAACCAAAGCAUGAAGCUGGUGACCAAGGAAUAGGAAAGGAUGGGAAAGGCUUCUCUAGUACCCACCCCAUGCUCUCCAGGGCUUCAUGGGAAGGGGCACCCCCAGGUCUCAACAGAUGGGCACAUAUAGUGAGCUACUCCCAUCAGACUCAGUCGAUGGGGUUGACCACAGGAAUGGCCAUUUCUACCAGGCAGGGGUGGGCCCCAGUGGCUAGGCAAGGCCCAGCAGGUUCUCCCACCUGUCUCCUGGUCCAGCCGCACCUGCUCCCUCUCUCUGGCAAAGGCCUUCAGCCAGCGCUGCUUCUGUUCUGGCUUCCUGGCACACAGUAAGUGGCUGUCCCCCGUGGUACCACAGUACAGACGGAAGGCAUUCUUGACGCUCACAUGGAGGUCUCGGUCCUUCCCGUCUUCCACAUCUACCACCUCCAGGUCAUCCAUGUCCAGCCGGCCCUUGUAGUACAGCACGUCCCGGCGGAGCAGAUCCUGCCAGAUGCUGCCCUGAGCCCUGGCUGGCCAGCAGCCUGCCUGACUCCCUGGUCAUGUCCAGGGUCUAUGCCCACCUCCCCUCCAGGCCACUGACUGACAGGACAGUCUAAUCUUUCUAGGUGCACAUGAAGUGGUGGGCAGAAAGCCUCACAAACUAAAGCAGCAGUCCAUAUGGUGCAGGAGAGAGCAGAGAGAACAAGGAAGGCUUCGUGCAUGGGGCCACUGUGCCAUGGUUUGAAAGAAGCAGAAGCUAGCGGUAAGGAGGCCAGAGGCUGCUGGCAUCAGAGAAAUCAUGAGACAGGCAAAGGCUUACAGAGGGAGACAUGAUCUGAGGAGUGGGCAGUGACCAGAUCAGGAAAGUGUGUGUGUGUGUGUGGGGGGGUAUUCUCAACAACACACUGUUCAAACAGCUACCCCGUGUCCCUGGGCUCAUGGAGAGCCUGUCCUAAGGACCUGACUGGGGCUCUACUCCAUGGGACUGGUCUGGCAAGGCAGGGUGGUUCGGAUACCUUUUUACAGUAGAUGAGCUGGCGGUCAAAGAGAAAAAACAUUCUCUGCUGACUCCUGGCUUGAGGCUGUGUCACACGGGUCAGCUCCCCCGAGUGGAUGAGUUCCGAGCUCCUGACCAGAAGGUCUUCCCCCUGAGUGAACCCCAAAGAGAGCCGUGAGGAAAGUGUGCCCAACCUUAGGCUCUGCUUCCCGCCUCGGGGGUGUGUGUGUGUGUGAGUGGACAAGGCAGCCUUGCAGAUGUGGCUGCAGGAGGAGAAAAAGGUAGGUUUGACCCACCCCUGUCGGGGAGGUCUUUGUGCUAGCCACUGGCCUUCGGCGGCUGCCGAGCAUUGGGGAUCUGAUGUUACUGAAGUACACUGCGAUUUCUCAAAAAGUAUGAAACUAUGUCAAAAGUGUUUGUUGGUUACAGUUGAAAUAUUUUGAUCUAUUGAACUAAAUAAAAUCCUAAAGUUCA